CUGAGAACUUGCUCCAGACCACCAGCCUUCCUGCUGAGAAAGCAAGCAGACUCACAGUUUUUCAGCAUCUCAAGGAGUCUGAAGCAGUGAUCUAGUUCCCUCAAAGGGUCUUUGGAUUCUCUCUGCUUUACUGCCACUAUAAAGAAUCCAUCAGUAUUUUUCUCAAACAUCAUUUUCAUCUUAGCUCUCCCUUCCUCAAGAAUGUACAAUGAUUCCCUAUUGCCCAUCAGAUGAAGUCUAACCACUGACAGACCCUGGGUAUCAUUAGG
rnacentral:lncRNA from 1 species